UACGUAGGGGGCAAGCGUUGUCCGGAAUCAUUGGGCGUAAAGAGCGCGUAGGCGGCCCUGUAAGUCCGCUGUGAAAGUCAAGGGCUCAACCCUUGGAUGCCGGUGGAUACUGCAGGGCUAGAGUCCGGAAGAGGCGAGUGGAAUUCCUGGUGUAGCGGUGAAAUGCGCAGAUAUCAGGAGGAACACCGAUGGCGAAGGCAGGUCUCUGGAACGCAACUGACGCUGAGACGCGAAAGCGUGGGGAGCAAACAGG
rnacentral:rRNA from 1 species